AAACAAGCUCAUUUCAAGAGAGCAGAGCUCAGGAAUAGCAGCUUCAAGCAGGAGUCUUGAGGUAGUCAAAGCUGGGUUUUGUUUCGCAUUUGAUGACCUCCUGACCUGAGGUCCAUUGAAAUCACUUGUCAACACAGGUUCAGCUUGUUUUCACACAAGCAUUGCCAAGAUGUGGAAGCUGCAUUUAUUUUAACUGCUCCGCAGUGAGUUUGAUAAUAUCCCCUGAGACAUGGAGAGAACCACAAUGCCUGCAAGAGGGUGGCAGAGCCUGGAGUGAAAAGAAGAAAUCCUUCUGAUUUACUAGACAGAGCUCAGCAGAGCCCAGCUUCUCCAGCACAGCACCAAACA
rnacentral:lncRNA from 1 species